GGGCCCAUCCCUCUUUUUACGUUCGUGCCCUAGGCACGAUCGUGGGAGGAGGCCGUUUGAGGGGUGGGGGCGGCGGCGUUGGAGAGGGCUCGCUGGAGGGCUUUGAGCGCCGGGGAGAGGCGACCAAGAGCUGGCCGGCCAUGGAGAAAGCCGGAAAAGCCUUCCUCCUUCAAGAAGAUCCCCACAAAUCGGUGAAGAGAUCUUGGACCCGUGCUUGUUUGCUCACGGAUUUCCUCCUCCGAUUUCUCGCCAGAAAGGUCGCCGGAACACCCAUCGGACCGAGAGGAAGAGUCGGCGGUGCCAGGAGAUUUUGAUCAGGGGACUCAUCACCCCAGCACGUAGGUUGUGAUUUGGACCGUGUUUGAGUCAGUCUACAAUUUCUGUACUGGAUUCGUAGAAUCUGUCGGAUGGGACAAGAAGUGAGCUCGAACUGGAGUCAGA